UGGUUCCUUUUACUCUGAUAAUAUUGCUGAUAUUUCUAGAAAUAGCUUGUUCAUCCAUUUAUUAAUCUCAUAAACCCCUGACUGGGGGAAACAGAGUGGAAAGUGGUCAGAAAUGGGGCUGGAACAGUAAUCAGGAAGCCGGAACCUCCAUUGCCUCAAGAGCUAAGUUCAGUGUCAGGCCUUUGUCUCGAGGGCAACGGGGAACUCUGUAAAGGUAUUUAAGUUGGGGAAUGUAGUGAUCAGCAGCAUUUGGCAGCAAUCACCCUGGGCUGGAGUGGGCCUGACAGGAAUGGGCAAAUCUUGGGGCAGGAAAUCCAGUCAGAAGAUUAUGACGAUAAAGCAGGAAUGAGAGUGGAAGCAGAAGGCCCAGGUCCCCGGAGGUCCCGACGCCCGGAUUCCACAGCCUGUGAGGGUCCCUUGAGCAGAGCGGGACGAGGCCACUGGCACUACGUCGUGACUUCACCAACAGCCUGCAGUACUCGUUAACGAGAUUUCGCCAGGCCCCUUGGACUAACGCCAGGAUUCUCGGUGCCCGCAGUCAGCGCUCUGGGAUUAGACAACGCCCCACAGGCCGCGGCUCUCUGCUGACCCUCAGCAGCGAUGAGACCGGCGCGCACAAGCCAGCAGCCACUAGCUCUCCCACAAGGCCGAGCGCGGCCAAAGGGCAGCCCCGCCCGCUCCGCCUCCCCCAGCUCUAUUGGCUAGUGCACCUGCCACUCAGCCGCGCGCCGGACUCCGGCUUCGGGCCUGGAGGAGGGAUCCCAAGCCUCCUCGGCUCGGCUCGGCUCGGCUCGGCUCGGCUCGGCUCGGCUCGGCUCGGCUCGGCUCGGCUCGGCUCGGCUCGGCUCGGCUCGGCUCGGCUCGGCUCGGCUCGGCUCGGCUCGGCUCGGCUCGGCUCGGCUCGGCUCGGCUCGGCUCGGCUCGGCUCGGCUCGGCUCGGCUCGGCUCGCUUGUCCUUGAGGUUUACUGUGUUUGGCAUCGCAGUUCCGACGGCAGCCGCCGUUUCGCGACCCACGGCGGACUUGCAUAAACACUUUCUAGUUGGAAUCUCACCCUGUGAGGUGGGCAAGGUAGUGAUAUUCCUGUUUGACGCCGACAGAAAUAAGAGAGAUUGACUCUCAGAACCAUGUGGCGGGAUUUUAAAGGAGGAUCUUAACAGUGGCUCGGACAGACCCGUGUUUUCUGCUCCUAGCAUUAACUACGUCGUUAAACCCUUCUGAAUUUAUUUCGUCUGUGAAAUGGGGAAAAGAUAGCCACCUUGCAUAACUGGUGAAGAAUUCGUAAACUGACAGCAGAAUCUAGUAAGAGGACUGGCCCGUGGUCGGCUCUUAAUGGUGUCACAGAAUAAAGAAAAAGACUGGGAGAGAGAUGGGAGCUGAUAGACCAGAGGAGACCAAAGACUGAAACUGAAGACUAAACCAUGGAAAUUGGGAACAAGCACUUACUCGCUUAGAGGGUGAAAAAAGUGAAUUUGCCUACAGGGCCAAUUUGGAAGCACCUCUCCCUGGAAGCCAGUCAAUGAAGAGCCAUUGGAGGAUUUUAAAUAAGGAACCGAAAAAUGGAGUCUGAAAAUAGAGGCGCAGAGACCGGUUCUUCCCCAAACCAUCAUGGACCAGUUGGACUCUGAGAAGAAAAGUUUCUGAUCUUUAGUUCAUUCUUCCAACUCUCUAGAAAGCAGGAAAACUGAGAAUGAAAAAUUCUAAAUUACUCAGGACUCAUGGGUUGCCAAUAGAAGAAAUACAUCUUAAACUAGCUUAAGCCUGAAAGGGAAAUGUAUUUGUUCAUGUAACUGAACCAUAACGAAGGAUGGUGGACUGAGGGACCUGAAAACACCCUCAGGACUCCCUCCCUCUCCUUUGUGCUCCUGUCUGAUGCCGUCUUCCCAGACCUGCUCACUCUCCAUAAGGUGGGGAUGUGGCCAUCAGCAACGUGUACUUCCCCGAAGCUUGUGACCUGAGUAGAUAGGCAUCUCCCAACCCACAAGGAUUGAAAAGUUCCUCUAGGAAUUAUGUGGAUUGGCCCAUUCACUAUGACAUGUUCCCCCUAAGCAGCUAAAGGAACUGGGUCUGUUACCAGAAGAGGUGGGAGAGGGGUGCUAGGCAGAUUGAACAACAGCCACUACAACAUCUGAGGAGGAGACCUCCGUGAAGGCCACCAAGUCUGCUAGCAGAUAUUUCCUCCCUCGGAUCUCUCUCCCUGUCCUCACAGUCUCAUAAGUGAGGAUUAAAUACUACAUGUGGCCUAGGAGAUCUUAGACCCUCCACACGAAGAUAUAGUAACAAUCAACAUCCUAGUGUUCUGGCAGAGAAAAAAUCAGAAAGAAUCGUUUGCCUGAUUUUUCCAUCAAUACCAAUAAUUAAUUAGAGAUGAAAUUUGUGAUGGACUCAGAGAAUUAGAGAAGAUCUAAGGGAAUCUAGAUGAUUUCCUACCCCUAACCAGAGCCUCACAAAAAAGGGUGAAGAUCUAUGGCCGUCUUGCGUUUGGUGUGAGGCUGGACAAGGAAGUUCCUAAGGUCCUUUAGACUCUGUGAGAUCAUGAGUCCGUAAAACCCUUCCAACUUGAAAUUAGUUGAUUCCUUCCUUAAAUUUUCUGGGACAUUCCCCCACUCCCUCCACUCUUAUUAGCUGAUUUUACUGACCAAUAGGCCUUGAAGUUGGGCGUUCCAUCUAGAUGUCUCACAUCAACUCACCUUUUGCAAAUUAAGCCCAUACCCUUAAAGAGGGGAAUUCUCAAGCCAUUAGAAACUAGAGAGUCAGCUGGGCAUGGUGGCUCACGCCUGUAAUCCCAGAACUUUGGGAGGCCAAGGUGGGUGGAUCACUUGAGGUCAGGAGUUCGAGUCCAGCCUGACCAACAUGGCGAAACCCCGUCUCUACUAAAAAUACAAAAAUUAGCCAGGGGUGAUGGCAUGCACCUGUAAUCCCAGCUACUCAGGAGGCUGAGGCAGGAGAAUUGCUUGAACCUGGGAGGCGGAGGUUGCAGUGAGCCAAGUUUGCACCACAGCACUCCAGCCUGGGCAACAGAGUGAGACUCAGUUUCAAAAAACAAAAGAACAAACAAACAAAAACUAGAGGGUCUCCUCUUAGUUCUUAAACCCUCUUAGUCAACAUUUGUGAGCCUCUUUUCUGUAUGUUUUGGCAUCUUUAUUCCUUUCCUUCGUGUCUUGACCAAAUUCACCAGAUCAUGACUCAGAACAAAAUCCUGAGGUUGAAUAUAGAGGUCUAGAACAUCUUCAAAUUAACUGUUUCUCCUCAUAGAGAAUUAAAGAAAUUGAGAAAGCAAGAG
rnacentral:lncRNA from 1 species